rnacentral:rRNA from 1 species
UACGAAGGGGCUAGCGUUGCUCGGAAUCACUGGGCGUAAAGGGCGCGUAGGCGGUCUUUUAAGUCGGGGUGAAGCCUGUGGCUCAACCACAGAAUUGCCUUCGAUACUGGGAGACUUGAGUUCGGAAGAGGUUGGUGGAACUGCGAGUGUAGAGGUGAAAUUCGUAGAUAUGCGGAGGAACACCGAUGGCGAGGCACCUCCGUGAACCUGACA